GACGAACGCUGGCGGCGUGCUUAACACAUGCGAGUCGAACGCUGAAGACCUGGCUUUUGUUGGGUUGGAUGAGUGGCGAACGGGUGAGUAACACGUGAGUAACCUGCCCUCUUCUUUGGGAUAACGCCCGGAAACGGGUGCUAAUACUGGAUAUUCACUGAUCUUCGCAUGGGGGUUGGUGGAAAGGUUUGUUCUGGUGGGGGAUGGGCUCGCGGCCUAUCAGCUUGUUGGUGGGGUGAUGGCCUACCAAGGCUUUGACGGGUAGCCGGCCUGAGAGGGUGACCGGUCACAUUGGGACUGAGAUACGGCCCAGACUCCUACGGGAGGCAGCAGUGGGGAAUAGUGCACAAUGGGCGAAAGCCUGAUGCAGCGACGCCGCGUGAGGGAUGGAGGCCUUCGGGUUGUAAACCUCUUUCGCUCAUGGUCAAGCCGCAACUGUGGGUUGUGGUGAGGGUAGUGGGUAAAGAAGCGCCGGCUAACUACGUG
rnacentral:rRNA from 1 species